rnacentral:rRNA from 1 species
UACGUAGGGUGCAAGCGUUGUCCGGAAUUAUUGGGCGUAAAGAGCUCGUAGGCGGUCUGUUGCGUCGGCUGUGAAAACCCGGGGCUCAACCCCGGACUUGCGGUGGGUACGGGCAGACUAGAGUGUGGUAGGGGAGACUGGAAUUCCUGGUGUAGCGGUGAAAUGCGCAGAUAUCAGGAAGAACACCUAUGGCGAAGGCAGCUCUCUGGGACGGUACUGACGCUGAGACGCGAAAGCGUGGGGAGCGAACAGG